AUAAAAUUGUGUUGUGUGCCUGUUUGGUUCGUGUCAUCGUUUUAGUUUCCUGCGGCACCAAAUCGCAAUCACACAACGAAUGCAUAGCAAAAGCGCUGCGGUUGGUUGUAAAAUCAGACAAGACAACACAAGGAUUCUACGCUACUAUUACUUAAAAGUUUGAGAGCUAAACAAUUCCUGUUCUAGCGUUUUACAGCCGCGAUUGUUGGAACUAUCUGGAAUAUUGUAGCAAGAUUUGAAUAGUGGUUGGUGUAAAUGAAGGACGAAAAUGAAUUAUGAGAAACCGCCGACUGCCAACACCAAUCUGGUCCUGCUGGGCCUUUCCUUGGUUUGCUUGUAAAGCGACCAACAAAGCCAAUUGACCAACGACAAUUCGCCUCGUUUAGUAGGUUGAAAUCAAGGGAACACAGAAAGCAAUUUCGUGCUGUGGAUGUCCGCUUGUCCGCACUUUCCACCCGCUGUGCUCGCAUUUUCCUCAUUUGACACACAAAUAUGUCUAUUAAAGCACAUCCUAGAUGUUUAGAAAUGUGAAAAUUUAAUCAAUUAAUUAGAAAUUUUAAUAUUUACAAAUAAAUAGUGAUGUUUAAUGUAAAGAACUUAAUUAUAGAGUUUAUGUCAUUAACAUUUGUGAAAUCAAUGAUGCAGAGAAACACCGCAGGUCACCAAACAGCUUUUGGUGAUUUAAACCUCUUCAAAAGGGGCUUUGUAUUCGUUGGCUGUGGUUUCCGUAUCAAAAGCUGGUUGCAAAUGCUGCACACAUGCUAAAUGGUAUUUGUCUCUAACAAAAAUUAUACAUUUACAAAGAAGAUUACAGAAAAUGUUAA